rnacentral:rRNA from 1 species
CAGUAGCCACGGGAAUACGGAGGGUGCAAGCGUUAUCCUGAUUUAUUGGGUUUAAAGGGUCCGUAGGCGGACUUAUAAGUCAGUGGUGAAAGCCUGUCGCUUAACGAUAGAACUGCCAUUGAUACUGUAAGUCUUGAGUAUAUUUGAGGUAGCUGGAAUAAGUAGUGUAGCGGUGAAAUGCAUAGAUAUUACUUAGAACACCAAUUGCGAAGGCAGGUUACCAAGAUAUAACUGACGCUGAGGGACGAAAGCGUGGGUAGCGAACAGGAUUAGAUACCCCUGUAGUCCCUGUCUCUUAUAC